rnacentral:rRNA from 1 species
UCCGAGGGGGGCGAGCGUUGUUCGGAAUUAUUGGGCGUAAAGGGUGCGUAGGCGGUUUGGUCAGUCUUGUGUGAAAUCUACAGGCUCAACUUGUAGUCUGCACGAGAAACUGCCGGGCUUGAGUGUGGGAGAGGUGAGUGGAAUUCCUGGUGUAGCGGUGAAAUGCGUAGAUAUCAGGAGGAACACCUGUGGCGAAAGCGGCUCACUGGACCAUAACUGACGCUGAUGCACGAAAGCUAGGGGAGCAAACAGG